CAAAAUCAUUCUCAGGAAUACUUUGGCCGAGGCAUUUAAUCGAGUCACCAAGGUUGUUAAAAAGUUUCGUAUACACAUAAACAUAUUUUUAGUUUGAAAAACACAGCCAUUCCUUGGCGUUAGCAGAGUUCAUCAUCAUGAGGUUGUUUGGCGUGACGUGAACUCUAACCAUACCUCAAGAGAUACCCUACGCGCCUCUUCAACCGAGGUCCAUAUAUAAUCGGAUUUCGUGCCCCUCUAAUAGGCUGGUCCACAGAACCCACCCACUGCAGCAAGCUAAACCCACCAUACAAUAAAAAUUCAACAGCAUGACAUGCCAAUUUUAUCAUUAUCCAACCUACCAAGGUAAACAAUAGUUUAUACAUUUUCAACACAAAUACCAAUUCAGCCAUUCAUGGCAAUAUUGCCAUAAGCCAAUCAAUUAGAACCAUAAAUUCACAAUAGAUCAAAUGGUCUCCAAUUACUCUAUUUUCAAAUUACUCAUUCAAUUUCAAGACAAUUUUUAAAAUCAUUUCAUUUAAACACAUUUUGUUUAUAGAACCUAAAAAUUAACUAUUUAAACUCAUUUUCCAUAACAUUCACAAAAUUGGAUAAAAACCACUUUAGAUAAAGAAGAUGAUAGUAAGGUUACUCACUAUUUCGGGAGUUAAAUUUUUUAGAGUACUCCAACUAUCGAUCCUCGAGUACAAUUUCUUUACCUUUAUCGGAAGAUUCACCACCUAGACAUAAUGCACAAUCAAGCAAUUUACCACAUUGGUGCUAAACCGUUAUAAAACUAUAUGGAUGCAUGAAAUGGAAUGCAAAUUGUUCGGAUUAUCGUCUAAACACGGUGUUCUGCACAAAUUCAAUUGUGUACUAAAUAAAACGGUAUUGGCCUAAUUUGAUCUAUCGCUCAAUUAAUUAGCCAAUAUGCCCAAUUCAACUCCAAUUAACUCCAUUUUUCUUCCAAUUCUCCAAACCAUCAAACACAAGUCAAAUAGCAUAAAAUUUAGCAAAAUCAUCUUCACAUUUUCUCUUGGGAAUUUCGGCCAUGGUGGGUGCAUCAACACUAUGAUUUUUCCUACUUGAUUUUCUCACUGUAAUUCAUCAUUUCCUAACCAAUUCACUUGAAAUAAAAUCAAAUCAACCAUCCACACUCUACAUGGAAAACUCGGCCAAUGAUGGGUGAUGGGAGAAAAUGAUUUUUUCUUGCUUGAUUUUCAUGCUACACAUCACUAACUAACUAAAAACACUAAAAUAUCUUAAAAUCUAACCAAAUCAAGCAUCAAAACUCCUCCCCUAUGUCCGGCCAGCAAGGGUAUCCUCAUGCAAACUUGAUUUUCAACCAUGAAAAAUGAAAAAAAAAUGCAUAGAAAAGGUAGAUCACAAGCUAGAAUUGAUAAAUCUUACCUUUUUUCACUUGUUUCCUUGAAUUUUCACACUUUUCCCUUGAAUUUUUCCACCUAGGGUUUUUGUUCUUCUUUUCUUCCUUUGUUCUUCCUUUGUUCUUGUUUUGGC
rnacentral:lncRNA from 1 species